rnacentral:lncRNA from 1 species
GAAAAUCCACCAUCUACCCGAGAAGCGGGUAGGUCAUGUCAACUCCCAAAAGCAGCAAGCCAAGGAAACAGGGGAAUAGUACUAUAUAACGGGAGAAUAGUACUAUAUGCAUGGACCAACCUAUAUAUGGCUGUAGAGGCAUAUGCAGAGCUGCAACAGCAAUCAAGGAUGCAUCAAAGCAAUACCAUCUCUGAGGUCAACAUCUCCCAUCAAGGAAGUCAUAAGAAA